rnacentral:rRNA from 1 species
AUUGAACGCUGGCGGCAUGCCUUACACAUGCAAGUCGAACGGGGGUAGCAAUACCCUAGUGGCGAACGGGUGAGUAAUGCAUCGGAACGUACCUCGUAGUGGGGAUAGCUCGGCGAAGCCGGAUUAAUACCGCAUACGUCCUGAGGGAGAAAGUGGGGGACCGCAAGGCCUCACGCUAUGAGAGCGGCUGAUGUCGGAUUAGCUAGUUGGUGAGGUAAAGGCUUACCAAGGCGACGAUCCGUAGCGGGUCUGAGAGGAUGAUCCGCCACACUGGGACUGAGACACGGCCCAGACUCCUACGGGAGGCAGCAGUGGGGAAUUUUAGACAAUGGGCGAAAGCCUGAUCCAGCCAUGCCGCGUGAGUGAAGAAGGCCUUCGGGUUGUAAAGCUCUUUCGGGCGGAAAGAAAUCGCACGGGUGAAUAAUCCGUGUGGAUGACGGUACCGCAAGAAGAAGCACCGGCUAACUACGUGCCAGCAGCCGCGGUAAUACGUAGGGUGCGAGCGUUAAUCGGAAUUACUGGGCGUAAAGCGUGCGCAGGCGGUUAUGCAAGACAGGUGUGAAAAUCCCCGGGCUUAACCUGGGAACUGCGCUUGUGACUGCACGACUAGAGUUACGGCAGAGGGGGGCUGGAAUUCCACGUGUAGCAGUGAAAUGCGUAGAGAUGUGGAGGAACACCGAUGGCGAA